rnacentral:RNase_P_RNA from 1 species
UCUAGAGAAAGGAUGAUCGCCCCACGUCGCCGCAAGGCUAUGAGGGGAGGAAAGUCCAGGCAGCAGAAAAGCAGGGUGCCAGGCGUAAGCCUGGGAUAUGUUCCGCAAGGAAUGUAGCCAGUUAGAGCCACAGAGACUAUGUCGAUUUUCUUACCCUAAAGGUAGGGAAAAACGAGUGAAAAGAGGCAAUCCUCCCCGCUGCAACCUCCGAAAGGAACGUUACAGGAGCUUUACCAACGGCUCGAGUAAUCGAGCCACGUUCCGAAGUUCGAGGGCGUUAGAUGGAUGAUCGUCAAACCCUGAAAUUUGUUCAGGGCCUAACAGAACCUGGCUUACUACUCUCUAGAGUAU